CAAAAAUUACACAAAGUCCCAAAUAUUACACAUGAAUAGAUCUAAAAAGUUGGAUGCAAAAAGGUUUUAAAAUUCUUGAAAAUAACUUGGAAAAUGAAUUUAAAAUUAAAAUUAAAUAAAAGUAAUAAUAAAUGAAAAAAUGAUUUAAAAAACAAGAGAAAAAUGUAUGUGAUGCAAAAUAUUUUUAGAGACUGUGUAAAAUAUUUGGAUAAAAAAUGAGAGAGAAAUUAAAUGGAAAAUAAAAG
rnacentral:lncRNA from 1 species